GACGAACGCUGGCGGCGUGCUUAACACAUGCAAGUCGAACGGAAAGGCCCUGCUUUUGUGGGGUGCUCGAGUGGCGAACGGGUGAGUAACACGUGAGUAACCUGCCCUUGACUUUGGGAUAACUUCAGGAAACUGGGGCUAAUACCGGAUAUGAGCUCCUGCUGCAUGGUGGGGGUUGGAAAGUUUCGGCGGUUGGGGAUGGACUCGCGGCUUAUCAGCUUGUUGGUGGGGUAGUGGCUUACCAAGGCUUUGACGGGUAGCCGGCCUGAGAGGGUGACCGGCCACAUUGGGACUGAGAUACGGCCCAGACUCCUACGGGAGGCAGCAGUGGGGAAUAUUGCACAAUGGGCGGAAGCCUGAUGUAGCAACGCCGCGUGCGGGAUGACGGCCUUCGGGUUGUAAACCGCUUUCGCCUGUGACGAAGCGUGAGUGACGGUAAUGGGUAAAGAAGCACCGGCUAACUACGUG
rnacentral:rRNA from 1 species